UUUUUUUUUUUUUGUUAUUUUUCAAAUCGAUUUUUCAUUUAUCAUCUCAUACACACUUCAAGUUUUUACAACAAUGGGGGGUGAUCCAAUUUUCACAAACGAGAGAAAAAAAAGGAAAAUAUUACGUUGUCUUUGAAGGUAGAACUCAUGGAGUAUUUUCUUCAUUGCAGGAUUGUGCAUCGGCUGUUUUAGGUAUAGGUGGAAGUGUUUACAAGUCUUUCAAUAAUUAUGAUGAAGCUGUUGAUGCCUACAGUCAAUAUUGUUACAAUAAGAAGUUUGGUGAAGGUAGCUCUCGCAUGCUUGACAUUGAAGAAAUCGGCAAACAAGAAAUGGAAGGGACAAAUAAGAAUACUCAAAUCGGUUUCCUCGUUGGAGUUUUAGUCGGGAUGCUAAUAUCUAAAUCUAAUGGUUCGGUUUGAUAGGCAUUUUUUUUUUAGAAAUUAUGUAUAAUAUUAUGUGGAUUUGAUUGGUUUUGAGU
rnacentral:misc_RNA from 1 species